rnacentral:tRNA from 1 species
GGGUAGUUGACCGAGUGGCUAAAGGUGACAGACUGUAAAUCUGUUGAUGUAAUGUCUACGGUGGUUCGAAUCCAUCACUGCCCA